AGUGGGGGAGUGGAGUCCCUCAUCCUGGAUUGAGAGAGGGUGCAGGCCAGGCCAAGGGACCCCACUGGUGCACG
rnacentral:pre_miRNA from 1 species